GAUGAACGCUGGCGGCGUGCCUAAUACAUGCAAGUCGAGCGAACGGACGAGAAGCUUGCUUCUCUGAUGUUAGCGGCGGACGGGUGAGUAACACGUGUAUAACCUACCUAUAAGACUGGGAUAACUUCGGGAAACCGGAGCUAAUACCGGAUAAUAUUUUGAACCGCAUGGUUCAAAAGUGAAAGACGGUCUUGCUGUCACUUAUAGAUGGAUCCGCGCUGCAUUAGCUAGUUGGUAAGGUAACGGCUUACCAAGGCAACGAUGCAUAGCCGACCUGAGAGGGUGAUCGGCCACACUGGAACUGAGACACGGUCCAGACUCCUACGGGAGGCAGCAGUAGGGAAUCUUCCGCAAUGGGCGAAAGCCUGACGGAGCAACGCCGCGUGAGUGAUGAAGGUCUUCGGAUCGUAAAACUCUGUUAUUAGGGAAGAACAUAUGCGUAAGUAACUGUGCACAUCUUGACGGUACCUAAUCAGAAAGCCACGGCUAACUACGUG
rnacentral:rRNA from 1 species